rnacentral:antisense_RNA from 1 species
CUUGACCGAGCCGACCAGAAGUGGGGUCUCCCGGUCCUGCCCGUAGGUCGCGAGCAGCGCCUGCGCCUC